ensembl:lncRNA
AAACCACUGUGCAGACCCCCAGUAAACCACUGUGCAGACCACCGUAAACCACUAUGCAGACCCCGGUAAACCACUGUGCAGACCCCCAGUAAACCACUGUGCAGACCCCCAGUAAACCACUGUGCAGACCCCGGUAAACCACUGUGCAGACCCCCAGUAAACCACUGUGCAGACCACCGGUAAACCACUGUGCAGACCCCGAGUAAACCACUGUGCAGACCCCGGGUAAACCACUGUGCAGACCCCCAGUAAACCACUGUGCAGACCACCGUAAAACCACUGUGCAGACCCCCAGUAAACCACUGUGCAGACCCCCAGUAAACCACUGUGCAGACCCCCAGUAAACCACUGUGCAGACCCCCAGUAAACCACUGUGCAGACCCCCGGUAAACCACUGUGCAGACGCCCAGUAAACCACUGUGCAGACCCCCACGUCCCCAGGCUUAACACCAUG